rnacentral:rRNA from 1 species
GGGUUGUGAGGUUAAGCGACUAAGCGUACACGGUGGAUGCCCUGGCAGUCAGAGGCGAUGAAGGACGUGCUAAUCUGCGAUAAGCGCCGGUAAGGUGAUAUGAACCGUUAUAACCGGCGAUUUCCGAAUGGGGAAACCCAGUGUGAUUCGUCACACUAUCAUUAACUGAAUCCAUAGGUUAAUGAGGCGAACCGGGGGAACUGA